AUACGUAGGUCCCGAACGUUGCGCGAAAUUACUGGGCGUAAAGGGUCCGUAGGCGGUCUGGUAAGUGGAAGGUGAAAGCCUGGGGCUCAACUCCAGAAUUGCCUUCCAAACUGCCGGACUUGAGGCAGGGAGAGGUCGGCGGAAUUCCCGGUGUAGCGGUGAAAUGCGUAGAUAUCGGGGGGAACACCAGUGGCGAAGGCGGCCGACUGGAACUGUCCUGACGCUGAGGGACGAAAGCCAGGGGAGCGAACCGGAUUAGAUACCCUAGUAGUCC
rnacentral:rRNA from 1 species